CCUACGGGUGGCUGCAGUGGGGAAUAUUGCACAAUGGGCGCAAGCCUGAUGCAGCCAUGCCGCGUGUGUGAAGAAGGCCUUCGGGUUGUAAAGCACUUUUAGCGGGGAGGGAGGCGGUGAGGUUAAUAACCUCAUCGAUUGACGUUACCCGCAGAAGAAGCACCGGCUAACUCCGUGCCAGCAGCCGCGGUAAUACGGAGGGUGCAAGCGUUAAUCGGAAUUACUGGGCGUAAAGCGCACGCAGGCGGUCUGUCAAGUCGGAUGUGAAAUCCCCGGGCUCAACCUGGGAACUGCAUUCGAAACUGGCAGGCUAGAGUCUUGUAGAGGGGGGUAGAAUUCCAGGUGUAGCGGUGAAAUGCGUAGAGAUCUGGAGGAAUACCGGUGGCGAAGGCGGCCCCCUGGACAAAGACUGACGCUCAGGUGCGAAAGCGUGGGGAGCAAACAGGAUUAGAUACCCGUGUAGUC
rnacentral:rRNA from 1 species